rnacentral:lncRNA from 1 species
GGCAUCACAGGUCUCUGUUCUGUCCACUAAAAUAAUAUUUUUGUUGUACAUAUAUAUUGUUUACUUCUUCAAUUUUUUCUUUCUUUAGUCUCCUAUGUAUUCUUUUUGUUCGGUAUUUGUCCAUAUUUUCUUACCUUAAUUGGUUUUUCUAUCUCAUGAAAGAAAGGACAAUAUAUUUAUUUUUAUUGGAUUUUCCUUUUUGUAAAAGAAAAUUAUAAUUCUUCCAUGUUUGGCUAGUACUUUUUCUUGUAGGAAAAUGUUUGGACUUCUAUAAAUUGAGGAUCCUUCCUUCUUAUUCAGUGGCAUCCACAAUGUAGCCAUAUGAGGUUCGAGAGUCGUGUUUAGGGAAAGAACUUUACGGGACAAGUAUUAGUGAGUUGCUUGUGUUUUCCUUUUCGUGAGGUUGUUCUCUCGAUAUUUUGUACUCACUUUUUAUAUAAUGGACUGCUCAUCUAGCACGUGGACGUACGUCAGUUGACCGAACCACAUUAAAUAUUUGUGUCUCUUUUGGUAUAUUUCUCUUUUGUUGAAUGAUUUAUCGUCAUUCAAGGUUUCAUUUGCUAGCUUCCGCAUGACACCUGCUUUUUUCGAUCCUAUCACUUUUUUUCCUCCUCUUUUGUCCCUCUCUCCUCUUACUUCAGCUACUAUUUCAUCCCCUUCAGCCACCCUCUGAAAAUUACUCCUAACAGUUUAUAAACUCCCUACAUAUCUCUUUCAGUUUUCAUCUCCCAAUUUUCUGGUAAAUUUCCAAAAAGUUAGCUAAAAGACCAACUCAUUUACAAAAAGAAGAGAUGAAGUACACAAAAGCUCACAAGCAAAGAGACUUUACAAAAAGAGAAAGGAUGAAACAUAGCUUUAAAAAUUGUCGUAAUCACUAAAAAAAAUGCAAGGACGUAGAAAAUACUUCAACGGCAUUUUUUUCUCGUCUCAAUAGAAAAAGGAAAGAAAAAGAGGAACUAAUAUAUGUCCAUGAGCGGGAAGAGGAAGAGGUAGAGCAGCCUCAAUAAAAAAAAGUAUUAGCUAGAGAGAACAGAAGAAAAUUAAAGAAAAAAAAUUAGAGGGUGAAAAUAUUGGGACGUUAUUAACAACUGAUGACGAAUAGUGGAAUUAAAAAAGCAUAACCCCCAAAUCAAUAUUCAUCCAUGCAUCGGACAAGUAUACGAAAAUACACGCUAAUUAGUACAGUAUAUAUGUAAUCAUGAUUUUAUUAAAAGGAAUAGACUUUUAUAUAAAACCCCUAGACCUCAGAGUCCCAGACUCUUACUCAUGUGAUGAUAAAUGAUAAUCUAAUUUUUAGUAAACCUCAUCUUUUUUCUAUCUAAUUUCCAACUCCACCAAAAAAUCACAACAUAUAAACGGGCAGAAUCAUGCAUGUAUAAAAAUAAAGAAACAACAAACAAAGUAGGGGUUAUGGACUUUAAAAGAUGUAACGCUUCCGAAGAGGUGCAACACGUGCUGACAUUUUAAAAUAAGAAAAAUGGAAAAAAAAAUGAGAAAAAGGCCAAAAAAGAGAAAGAUAAAUAGAAUUCCAACACUAUCGAGUAUGCACAUCACUAUAUAUAUUCGUGCUUGGGGGAAACGUCUUUACAAAUACAAAAAUCAAAAAUAUUUAAAAAAUAAAAAUUAAAAAAAGAAAGUUGACGUACAUAAAUAAAAUAAAGGUGUAGACAUUAAUCCCUAUAUUUAGUUUAUUUUUUUGUUCUACCAAGGAAAUAAAAGUUUACAAUAUAAAUACACAAAAAGUAGAACUAACACGCUAAUAAGCAUAAAUAUCGUAGACCGACUAAAAAGUAAGGGAAAAAAAUAUGGAGAAAAGGGGGAAUAAGAACAUAACACGUAUUUGCUAACCUCGAGCCUCUCUUUGAGAGCAUCAGCUUGAUACAAAAAAAAAACUAAAAUCCCAAAAGAAUUACACAAAAGAAAAGAAGAAAAAAUCUAAGAAAAAAUAUGUAAAUUAUGAGUCGAUUAACAAAACAAAAAGAAAAUAUAAACGCACACUAUAAAAAUAGUCAUACUGUCAGGAAUGACAAAAAUAAUGAUUUUAAACAUGUCAAAAAAUUUAGUCUUGUCCAAUUGAACAUGUUGAAUAUCAGCACAUGGAUUUGAAACAAAAAUAAACAAAAAUUAAAAUCACAAAGAGUUGCAGUCCAGUAAGCACAAAGUAAUGAAAGAAGAAUACCUUCUGAUUGACAAUAGCAAAGAGAAAAAUAUGCACACUAUAAGAAUAAUCCCACUCUUAAAAUAACUGAAGCCGAAAGAGGUAUACCUAUUGACUAUUGUGAGAUUGUCAGGUAUGACGGUCGAAAGAGAAAAGAGAGGCUAGGAAAAGGCGUUACUUUUUCCAAAGGAAAAGAGUCGGACGUAACUCAUAAAAUUAAAGAACAAAAGAAGAGGAAGAGGCGUAUUAAAG